UACGGAAGGGGCAAGCGUUGUUCGGAAUCAUUGGGCGUAAAGGGCGCGCAGGUGGCUCUGUAUGUCUGCCGUGAAAGCAUACAGCUCAACUGUAUUGUGUCGGUAGAAACUGCAGGACUUGAGGCUGGGAGGGGCUGGUGGAAUUCCCUGUGUAGCGGUGAAAUGCGUAGAGAUGGGGGAGAACACUCGUGGCGAAGGCGGCCAGCUAGACCAGUUCUGACACUGAGGCGCGGCAGCGUGGGGAGCAAACAGG
rnacentral:rRNA from 1 species